rnacentral:rRNA from 1 species
CGACUGCUAAUACCGCAUAAGCCCACGGUGCCGCAUGGCACAGAGGGAAAAGGAGCAAUCCGCUUUGAGAUGGCCUCGCGUCCGAUUAGCUAGUUGGUGAGGUAACGGCCCACCAAGGCGACGAUCGGUAGCCGGACUGAGAGGUUGAACGGCCACAUUGGGACUGAGACACGGCCCAGACUCCUACGGGAGGCAGCAGUGGGGAAUAUUGCACAAUGGGGGGAACCCUGAUGCAGCGACGCCGCGUGGAGGAAGAAGGUCUUCGGAUUGUAAACUCCUGUUGUUGGGGAAGAUAAUGACGGUACCCAACAAGGAAGUGACGGCUAACUACGUGCCAGCAGCCGCGGUAAAACGUAGGUCACAAGCGUUGUCCGGAAUUACUGGGUGUAAAGGGAGCGCAGGCGGGAAGACAAGUUGGAAGUGAAAUCUAUGGGCUCAACCCAUAAACUGCUUUCAAAACUGUUUUUCUUGAGUAGUGCAGAGGUAGGCGGAAUUCCCGGUGUAGCGGUGGAAUGCGUAGAUAUCGGGAGGAACACCAGUGGCGAAGGCGGCCUACUGGGCACCAACUGACGCUGAGGCUCGAAAGUGUGGGUAGCAAACAGGAUUAGAUACCCUGGUAGUCCACACCGUAAACGAUGAUUACUGGGUGUUGGAGGAUUGACCCCUUCAGUGCCGCAGUUAACACAAUAAGUAAUCCACCUGGGGAGUACGACCGCAAGGUUGAAACUCAAAGGAAUUGACGGGGGCCCGCACAAGCAGUGGAGUAUGUGGUUUAAUUCGACGCAACGCGAAGAACCUUACCAAGUCUUGACAUCCCUUGACAGGCAUAGAAAUAUGUUUUCUCUUCGGAGCAAGGAGACAGGUGGUGCAUGGUUGUCGUCAGCUCGUGUCGUGAGAUGUUGGGUUAAGUCCCGCAACGAGCGCAACCCUUAUGGUCAGUUACUACGCAAGAGGACUCUGGCCAGACUGCCGUUGACAAAACGGAGGAAGGUGGGGAUGACGUCAAAUCAUCAUGCCCUUUAUGACUUGGGCUACACACGUACUACAAUGGCGUUAAACAAAGAGAAGCGAGACCGCGAGGUGGAGCAAAACUCAGAAACAACGUCCCAGUUCGGACUGCAGGCUGCAACUCGCCUGCACGAAGUCGGAAUUGCUAGUAAUCGUGGAUCAGCAUGCCACGGUGAAUACGUUCCCGGGCCCUGUACACACCGCCCGUCACACCAUGAGAGCCGGGGGGACCCGAAGUCGGUAGUCUAACCGCAAGGAGGACGCCGCCGAAGGUAAAACUGGUGAUUGGGGUGAAGUCGGAACAAGGU